rnacentral:lncRNA from 1 species
AUAAAAGGAACAUAUCUCAACAUAGUAAAGGCUGUAUAUGACAAGCCCAUAACUAAUAUCAUACUCAUUGGUGGAAGUCUGAAAGCUUUUCCUCUAAGGUCAGAAAGAAGACAGAGGUGUGCCUUGACAUCACUCAUAUUUAACAUAGUACCGGAAGAGCAUUUAGGCAAGGAAAAGGAAGAAAAGGUAUCAGAAUAGGACUGGAGGAAGUAAAAUUGUCUAUAUUUGCAGAUGAUAAUUUUAUAUAGAGAAAAUCCUAUAGACUCCACCGAAAUAUUGUUAAAGUUAAACAAAGAUUUCAGGAAAGUUGCAGGAUACAAAGUUAGCAUUUUGAUAAACUAAAAACAAAUUUUCAAAAAUAAAACUCUGCUAUACACAGCAUCAAAAACAGUAAAAUACCUAGGAAUAAAUUUAACCAAAGAGAUGAAAUGUUUUUUUACUGAAAACUGUUAAGACACUGAUGACAGAAAUUGAAAAAAAAAAAAAACCCACAAAUGAAUGGAAAGGCAUUCAUUCCAUUCAUACAAGCAUGAAUUGAUACAAGCAUGAAUAUUUUUGUCUUCCAUAGUAAUCGAAGCCAUCUAUAAAUUCAGUGCAAUUCCUAUCAAGAUCCCAAAGGAAAUUGAAACAGAAAAAAAAAUUAUCCUAAAAUUUUAUAUGGAGCAGCUAAACACCCUGAAUAACAAAAGCAAUACUGUGGGGGGUUCACACUUCCUGAUUUCAAGCCAUGUUAUAAAGCUAAGAUGAUCAAAAUAGUAUGGUAGUAGCAUAACAAAGACAUAGAAAUAAAUUAAGAGCUCAGAUGUAAACCCAUGCCUAUACAGUCAACUAAUAUUUGACAGGGGAGCCACGAAUAGUCCAUGGAGAAAAGACAGUCUCUUCAAAAAGUGCUGGGAAAAUUGGACAUUCAAGGGUAAAAGAAUGAAACAACCCCUAUAUUACACUGCUCAUGAAGAUGAACUCAAAAUGGAUUAAAGACUUAAAUGCAAGACCAGAUACCAUACAAUUCCUAGAAGAGGAUUUAAAAGUUAAAAAAAAAAAA